AUGGCAGCAGCCACUCCCAGUGGUCACUCAGGGAGGGCUCCUAGAGAGAGCAGCAGCAGCAAGCUUGCAGCAGGACCAGUGAGCCUGGCAGGCCACUGGGGAGGAAUGGAGAACCCCUUCUUGGCUGCAUGUUGGCUUCGAUCCUGCACUCCAGGGAGCCAUGACCCCUUUCCAGCGGAGACCAUAAGUGCUGCAAAGAGUUAACCAUCUACCCAAAGUCACAUGGGAAGGAGGAAUGCAGUCAAUUUAAACUCAAAGAAGUCAUGCUCCUGAUUCUGCUGUUUUCUUCCACACCCUGCUCCCUCCUAGAUUUCCUAGGAUGGUUCAGCUCCUCAAGAGACGACUGGUGGAAUUUCUAGUAUGCCUCAAAAAUGGAUGGAGUCUGGGCCAGGGAUUUAGCUCAGUGGAUCUGCUACCUGCCUCGCAAGUGCAAGAUCCCUAGUUCAAUCCCUGGUGUAUGUAUAUAUAUAUAUAUAUAAAGAUGGAGUCCCUCCGUCCAGAUUAAUGCUUCCUUCCCUGAAACACAUAAGAGAGCAGUGGUGGCCAUGUCUGUGGGUGCCUUGGAACCUCUGUCUACAGCUGAUGCUCAGGAGAGGAUCCAGGUGGGCUAGAAAUCAGCCCAUGGGUGGGUCACUUCCCUCUCGAUGCCGUGGGAUUGAACUUGGUCAAGCUGGGGAAGGGCUGCCUGCCAGCCCCUGAAGCCCAAUAUUAACUGCUUUUCUGUUGCUAUAACAAAAUGCCUGAGCCCAGGUACUUUCUAUGAAAAGAGGUUUAUUUUGCUCACAUGUUUGAAGGUUGGUUGCAUGGUGCUAGCACCCUCUCAGCUCUGGUGAGAGACUACUCACUACAUCACAACACAGAGGGUAGCAUCAUGGUAGGACUUGUGCAAGGGGGAGAGAGCCUAUGGCAAGAGAGGAAGCAAGAGAAAUGUUGGGGAGAUGCCUUGCUCCCUUAAAAUAACCUGCUCACAGGGCUUCCUAUGAGAGCAAGAACACACUUCCUUGAGAAAAUCAUUCAUUCCUCUAAAAACACCAGUCGCCUCCCUCUAAGCCCACCCCUGAAAGGCUUUGCCACCCCGAACAUCCCAGCAUCAUCAGCACGUGUACCUUUUCAGGACACAGACUCAUCCAGCCCACACUACCUCUGGAUAAAGUGCACUCGGCCU
rnacentral:lncRNA from 1 species